rnacentral:lncRNA from 1 species
AUGAGUUCCUUUUUGCAUAGAAGGUCUGGAAUCUUUCCUGGAGCAGAUCUGAUGUUCUCUCACUUCUGCAUUUCAGUGAGCCCCUUUGGUCUGAAGCUUCCUCCUACCAGGUUGCUUCAUUUCUCUGCGUCAGAGCACGUGCAUGUGGAAAUGGAGAUCAAAGAGCAUUGUUAAUUGACAGAAGAGGUGUUACAGAGAUUGUCAGUUACCUUUUGCUGCUGAUACCCAUCACCUCUAAUAGAAAUCUUGGGAUUUAAAAAAAAAAAAAAGGCUUUCAUGCCAUACAUCUUCUGUCAAACCUGAGGACACCAAUGGACACAGAACUUACUCUUCUUUAACUGCAGACUUGUAUUCCAUAAAAUAUGAAAAGACAUCUGAAAAAGUCACCAGAUCUAACUGGGUGGAGACCGGAUGUCAGGAGAAAACUAGGCUUUUGCAGAGAUUGAUUUAUGGAGAAGGAACUAAGUAUACAUGAGUAGAACUGCAUUUCAGAGCUGAAGAAGAGUGAAAAUUGUUAGAAGUUAGAUUGAGCCACACAGACUGAAUUUCCUGACUUUUCUUAAAACAAACAACAAAAGAUCCUUUGUACAACAGAAAUAACAAAACAACAAGAAUUAUUGUUGUGCAGAAGGGUGGGAUAGGACUUGAGAAAUAACCCCCGAAAUGAAGUGAAUAUGUUGCCUUAGUUUUCAGUAAAGAUGCAGCAGUUAAGUAUAGAAACAAAGGUUAUAGAGUGAAUGCAAAGGAAAAUUUGGAAAUGGAAUGGACACAUAUGAAAUAAAAACAAAAC